rnacentral:lncRNA from 1 species
AUUUUAUACAAUAUACAAUGUAUAUUCACCUUUACUACCAACUGAUAGAUUAAAACAAUCUUUACCAUUCAGUAAUAACAAGCACUUUUUUUACAUUUUAAUAUUUUAUGAUGUAUUUAAAUGAGUAGUUAUUGUUGCAAACUUCAUUAGAAAUUUGAAUUGAGAUCAGUUUUGAAAUAAGGGAAAGGGGGAUGUGAAAAAAAAUUGGGGGGGGGGGGGGUCAAUUUUUUCAUUUCAGAUUUCAUAAAUAAAAAGAAAAACUUCUUCAAACAUUUUUUUGAGAGGAUUAAUAUUCAACAGCAUAGUGAAUUGCUCAAAGGCAAAAAAAAUUUUUAAGUUCAUUAGACCACAUUCAUUCUGUGUCAGAAACCUAUGCUGUGUCAACUAUUUAAUCACAAUCCAAAUUUAGAGCUGAAUCCAGCUUGAAUGUUGUGUCCAUACUUGCCC